rnacentral:rRNA from 1 species
GACGAACGCUGGCGGCGUGCUUAACACAUGCAAGUCGAACGGAAAGGCCUCUUUCGGGGGGUUCUCGAGUGGCGAACGGGUGAGUAACACGUGAGUAACCUGCCCUUGACUUUGGGAUAACUUCAGGAAACUGGGGCUAAUACCGGAUAGGAGCUCCUGCUGCAUGGUGGGGGUUGGAAAGUUUCGGCGGUUGGGGAUGGAUUCGCGGCUUAUCAGCUUGUUGGUGGGGUAGUGGCUUACCAAGGCUUUGCCGGGUAGCCGGCCUCUGAGGGUGACCGGCGACAUUGGGACUGAGGGACGGCCCAGGCUCCUACGGGAGGCAGCAGUGGGGAAGAUUGCACGAGGGGUGGAGGGCGGAUGCAGCAACGCCGUGUGCGGGAUGACGGCCUUCGGGUUGUAAAACGCAUUCGCUCAUGACGAAGCUUUGUGUGACGGUAGUGGGUAAAGAAGCACCGGCUAACUACGUG